rnacentral:rRNA from 1 species
UACGUAGGUGGCAAGCGUUGUCCGGAAUUAUUGGGCGUAAAGCGCGCGCAGGCGGCCUCUUAAGUCUGAUGUGAAAGCCCCCGGCUCAACCGGGGAGGGCCAUUGGAAACUGGUAGGCUUGAGUAUAGGAGAGAAGAGUGGAAUUCCACGUGUAGCGGUGAAAUGCGUAGAGAUGUGGAGGAACACCAGUGGCGAAGGCGACUCUUUGGCCUAUAACUGACGCUGAGGCGCGAAAGCGUGGGGGAGCAAACAGG